rfam:Trichobilharzia regenti genome assembly, scaffold: TRE_scaffold0008570
GUGUUGAUGAAGAGUCCCAAACUAGGACGAAACAGCUGUCCAUUAC